rnacentral:rRNA from 1 species
GAUGAACGCUAGCGGCAGGCUUAACACAUGCAAGUCGAGGGGUAUAGUAGCAAUACUAGAGACCGGCGCACGGGUGCGUAACGCGUAUGCAACCUACCUUUUACAGAGGGAUAGCCCAGAGAAAUUUGGAUUAAUACCUCAUAGUGUUAUUAGAUGGCAUCAUUUGAUAACUAAAGUUCCAACGGUAAAGAUGGGCAUGCGUCCUAUUAGCUAGAUGGUAAGGUAACGGCUUACCAUGGCUACGAUAGGUAGGGGUCCUGAGAGGGAGAUCCCCCACACUGGUACUGAGACACGGACCAGACUCCUACGGGAGGCAGCAGUGAGGAAUAUUGGACAAUGGGCGCAAGCCUGAUCCAGCCAUGCCGCGUGCAGGAAGAAGCAUCUAUGGUGUGUAAACUGCUUUUGUACGGGAAGAAACACUCCUACGUGUAGGAGCUUGACGGUACCGUAAGAAUAAGGAUCGGCUAACUCCGUGCCAGCAGCCGC